UUAGAUUGGCUAUAGAUGAAUUGGAGCCAGUAGUUGGCUGUACUAUUGAACUUGCUCUUAGAGCGUAAGAGCAAGUAAGAGCAAGUUCAAUAGUAUAGCCAACUACUGGCUCCAAAACAUCUAUAGCCA
rnacentral:pre_miRNA from 1 species